AAGCUCGUAGUUGAAUUUCGGGGUUAGUAGGUUGGUCAUGCCUCUGGUAUGUACUGGUCUCACUGAUUCCUCCUUCCUUAUGAACCGUAAUGCCAUUAAUUUGGUGUUGCGGGGAAUUUGGACUGUUACUUUGAGAAAAUUAGAGUGUUUAAAGCAAGCUAACGCUUGAAUACAUUAGCAUGGAAUAAUGAAAUAGGACGUUCGAUCUUAUUUUGUUUGGUUUCUAGGAUUGACGUAAUGAUUAAUAGGGAUAGUUGGG
rnacentral:rRNA from 1 species